CAUCCUCCUGCUUGGGGGGCUCUUGGGAGGUCUGGGAACCCCCCUCUGCCGGAGAGAACCAUUUUAUUUCCUCUUGGCUAUCAUGAAGAUGUUGGGAGACCAAAGUGAUGGCACCCUGUACACUCCAGGGGAUCUCUCGGUCAGAUGGCCCCAGCCAGAGCCCCACAGGCCAAGAGGAAGAGGAGGGGAGAGGAACCAGAAGAUCCUCCUCUCUCCCCCAGAGGGACAGGCGGCUCCUGGACAUCCUCUCAGCCCAUCCUCAUCCCUCCAGACCAGGGAGAGGCCUGCAGCUCGGGUCCCUGGCUGUAGGUAGUGGCCG